ACGGCUCAGUAACACGUAGGUAACCUACCCUUCGGACGGGCACAACCCCGGGAAACUGGGGCUAAUUCCCGAUAGGUACCCCCUUCUGGAAUGUGGGGAUAUCCAAAGCUCCGGCGCCGAAGGAUGGGCCUGCGGCCGAUUAGGUUGUUGGCGGGGUAACAGCCCACCAAGCCGACGAUCGGUACGGGCAGUGAGAGCUGUAGCCCGGAGAUGGGGACUGAGACAAGGCCCCAGGCCCUACGGGGCGCAGCAGGCGCGAAACCUUCACAAUGCACGAAAGUGUGAUGAGGGUACUCCGAGUGCGCAUACAUUGUAUGUGCUUUUCUGCAGCGUAAAUAGUUGCAGGAAUAAGGGCUGGGCAAGACCGGUGCCAGCCGCCGCGGUAACACCGACAGCCCUAGUGGUGGCCGCUCUUAUUGGGCCUAAAGCGUCCGUAGCCGGACAGGCGAGUCUUUGGGUAAAUCCUACGUCUUAAGCGUGGGAAUUCUAAAGAUACUACCUGUCUUGAGGCCGGGAGAGGCUGGAGGUACUCCUGGGGUAGGGGUAAAAUCCUAUAAUCCUGGGGGGACCACCGAUGGCGAAGGCAUCCAGCUGGAACGGGCCUGACGGUGAGGGACGAAACCCAGGGGAGCGAGCCGGAUUAGAUACCCGGGUAGUCCUGGGCGUAAAUGAUGUGGGCUUGGUGUGAGCGCAUCGACGAGGUGCGCUUGUGCCGUAGGGAAGCCGUUAAGCCCACCGCCUGGGGAGUACGGUCGCAAGGCUGAAACUUAAAGGAAUUGGCGGGGGAG
rnacentral:rRNA from 1 species